UUCACGGUGCAAUUUCAAUUGGUAUCAGAGCCUGCAGACUUAAAUUAUUAGUCUGUCGAUCUGGCUAUCCCGUGCCUCUUGAACUCAAGUUUUCAACGACUCUUAUUGCUUUUCUUUAUUCUGUUAAUUUGUUCAAUCUCACGGGUUGUUGAGUGUUACAGAAUGGAUCGUGUUAAGGUUCUUCCCCAGCUAAUCGGCGACAACUACGCUUAUUGGAAAGCUCGCACACGUACACAUCUAAAAACUCAAGGUGAUGCAGUAUGGCGGUCCGUGGUGACAGGUUGGACUCAUCCGACUAAAGCCAGUAUCAGUGAUGAUGGAACUUGCAGGUACUGAGUAAGCUAAAGGUGCGUGGGAGGCUCUUGAGUCAACUUACAAAGGAACUACGUCAGUGAAACAAUCAAAGCUGCAACUAGUCCAGUCCGACUUUGAAGAGCUUCAGAUGAAUGAGGAUGAGACCAUCACGAACUUUCACACACGUGUACAGGAACUGGCAAAUCGUGCGAUGGUCCUCGGUGAACCUUUCCCCCAAAAAAAACUUGUUAAAAAAAUUCUGAGAUCGUUACCACCAAGGUUCAGAAUGAAAAUCACGGCCAUUCAGGAACAUGACGGCUGGGAGAACAAAACGGUUACUCAGUUAAUGGGAAAUCUUAGAACCUAUGAAAUGGAAAUUUUAACUGAUCACACGAAAACGAAAAAACAAAAAAAUGUAGCUUUUGCCGCUGAAGGAAAUAAUGUUGUAUCUGAUUCAGACGAACCAGGUGAUGAUACAAUUGUUUAUUUGACUAAACAAUUUUCUAAAAUUUUGAAACAGGUAUCAAAUAAUUCACGCAACAAAAAUCCACAAAGAGGAACAAUGUCAUCCAAAGCUGGUCCUAGGACAAGCUCGUCAAACUUCAAGCAGUCUGUCUCACGUCCAUGGCAGUCCAAAGAAAAAUCUAACAAUAAAGGAAUCAAAUGCUAUGAGUGUGAAGGCUUUGGACAUGUACAAGCGGAGUGUCCCACCUAUCUCAGACGCAAAAAGUUUAUGUCAGCCAUUACCUGGAGUGACGAUUAACCUAACGCUGAAACAACUAGAUCUGAUGUAGAAGAAGUCUCCUGUAAUUUUGUUGCUUUUACUGCACGUGUUGCUGGAUGUUCAGAACUUGAAUAAGGAGCUGACUCAGAGGGAGGUGAAUAUGUCUCAGCGGAAGAUUUAGAAUUAAAUGCUUUAUCUUUUGAAGUUGAGUUCAAUAAGUUGUACCCCAAAUGCGAAGCCCUAAGAUAAGAAAAUUGCAAAUUGUCUAGUGAGAUAGAGAUUGUAACAAAUGCUA